rnacentral:rRNA from 1 species
ACAACGGAGAGUUUGAUCCUGGCUCAGGAUGAACGCUGGCGGCGUGCUUAACACAUGCAAGUCGAACGGGCCUUCGGGCUAGUGGCGGACGGGUGAGUA